CAGGCCUAACACAUGCAAGUCGAACGAUGCCUUCGGGCAUAGUGGCGCACGGGUGCGUAACGCGUGGGAAUCUGCCCCUUGGUUCGGAAUAACAGCGAGAAAUUGCUGCUAAUACCGGAUAACGACGUAAGUCCAAAGAUUUAUCGCCGAGGGAUGAGCCCGCGUAGGAUUAGCUAGUUGGUGUGGUAAAGGCGCACCAAGGCGACGAUCCUUAGCUGGGAUGAGAGGAUGAUCAGCCACACUGGGACUGAGACACGGCCCAGACGCCUACGGGAGGCAGCAGUGGGGAAUAUUGGACAAUGGGCGAAAGCCUGAUCCAGCAAUGCCGCGUGAGUGAUGAAGGCCUUAGGGUUGUAAAGCGAUUUGACCCGGGAUGAGAAUGACAGGACCGGGAGAAGAAGCCCCGGCGAACUCCGUGCCAGCAGCCGCGG
rnacentral:rRNA from 1 species